UACGUAGGGACCGAGCGUUGUCCGGAUUCAUUGGGCGUAAAGAGCUCGUAGGCGGCCACUCAAGUCGAAUGUGAAAGCCCGGGGCUUAACCCCGGGUCUGCAUUCGAUACGGGCUGGCUAGAGUGUGGUAGGGGAGAUCGGAAUUCCUGGUGUAGCGGUGAAAUGCGCAGAUAUCAGGAGGAACACCGGUGGCGAAGGCGGAUCUCUGGGCCAUUACUGACGCUGAGGAGCGAAAGCGUGGGGAGCGAACAGG
rnacentral:rRNA from 1 species